rnacentral:rRNA from 1 species
UACGGAGGGUCCAAGCGUUAUCCGGAUUUAUUGGGUUUAAAGGGUGCGUAGGCGGCUUAUUAAGUCAGUGGUGAAAGCCUGCAGCUUAACUGCAGAACUGCCAUUGAUACUGAUGAGCUUGAAUAUACUUGAGGUUGGCGGAAUGUGUCAUGUAGCGGUGAAAUGCGUAGAUAUUGGGAGGAACACCAGUGGCGAAGGCGGCUCACUGGACUGGUACUGACGCUGAGGAGCGGAAGCGUGGGGAGCGAACAGG